UACGGAGGGUCCAAGCGUUAUCCGGAAUCAUUGGGUUUAAAGGGUCCGUAGGCGGUCUAAUAAGUCAGUGGUGAAAGCCCAUCGCUCAACGAUGGAACGGCCAUUGAUACUGUUAGACUUGAAUUAUUGGGAAGUAACUAGAAUAUGUAGUGUAGCGGUGAAAUGCUUAGAUAUUACAUGGAAUACCAAUUGCGAAGGCAGGUUACUAUCAAUAUAUUGACGCUGAUGGACGAAAGCGUGGGGAGCGAACAGG
rnacentral:rRNA from 1 species